rnacentral:rRNA from 1 species
CUCAAGUUAAUAACUAUCGGCGUUAAGCGUGAUUAAAGUCUCAAUAAAUUAGGGUCAAAUUAACACUUAGUAGUAUUAAGCUUGCUGUUAAGAAGAACAUAAACGAAAGUUACCCUAAUAAUACACUUGAAUACACGACAGCUGGGAACACAAACUGGGAUUAGAUACCCCACUAUGCCCAACCGUAAACAAUUAACUCACACCAAAAACGCCAGGGAACUACGAGCAAUGCUUAAAACCCAAAGGAUUUGACGGUGUCCCACCCACCUAGAGGAGCCUGUUCUAUAAUCGAUGAUCCCCGCUAUACCCAACCACCCUUAGCUCUUCAGUCUGUAUACCUCCGUCGAAAGCCUACCAUGUGAACGUUUUCAGUAGGCCCAAUGACCACAUCAAUACGUCAGGUCAAGGUGCAGCUCACGGAGUGGAAAAUAAUGGGCUACAAUUUCUAAUUUAGAACAAACGAAAGGCUAUGUGAAAUCAUGGUCAUGAAGGCGGAUUUAGUAGUAAAAAGAAAAUAGAGAGUUCUUUUUAACCCGGCUCUGGGACGCGUACACACCGCCCGUCACCCUCUUCAACAAUACCCAUUAAGUUUCUAACCCCCAUAUUAUACCUUAGAAGAGGCAAGUCGUAACAUGGUAAGUGUACUGGAAAGUGCACUUGGAUUAUA